AUAAGUAGGUAAAUCGAUCUUUGAAACAUGUGAAAAUGAAGUGACGGAAACCACCACACACGUGUGGAGCAAAAGGAGGAAUCUGUCCGAGGAGGGGCUUGCGUCUGAUUAGCUAGUUGGUGAAGUAAUCGCUUACCAAGGCAAUGAUCACUAGCUGGUCCAAGAGGAUGACCAGC
rnacentral:rRNA from 1 species